rnacentral:rRNA from 1 species
UACGAAGGGGGCUAGCGUUGUUCGGAAUUACUGGGCGUAAAGCGUAUGUAGGCGGAUCGUUAAGUCGGGGGUGAAAUCCCGAGGCUCAACCUCGGAACUGCCUUCGAUACUGGCGAUCUUCGAGUCCGGGAGAGGUGAGUGGAACUCCGAGUGUAGAGGUGAAAUGCGUAGAUAUUGGGAGGAACACCAGUGGCGAAGGCGGCUCAGCUGGACCGGAACUGACGCGUGAGGGCGCGAAAGCGUGGGGAGCAAACAGG